rnacentral:lncRNA from 1 species
ACCCCGGUUAUCUAUCGAGAUGAAUUAUUAUACUGACGGACUUAAUCAUUCUACGAACGCUCGUGAUGGUUUUCUCAACCAAGCCAUAGCUGGCUACAAUCUCAUGUCCAACUCAUAUACACAGCUGUACGUCAGCUCACUUAUAGAUAAUUCUCUAACUGCCUAACAGACUCCUCUAACGAUCUAACAAAUUAUGCAACG